GAUCAUGGCUCAGGAUGAACGCUGACAGAAUGCUUAACACAUGCAAGUCGAUGGGGAAGUGGUGCUUGCACCAUGGUAACCAUGGCGGACGGGUGAGUAACGCGUAAGGAACUUGCCUGCGGGACCGGGAUAACAGCAGGAAACUGCUGACAAGACCGGAUAAGGUCAUUAAGCGGCAUGGUUUAAUGAUGAAAGGAGACGCCUGCGGAGAGCCUUGCGUCCUAUUAG
rnacentral:rRNA from 1 species